UUGAGAACUCUGUGUGCAACCAUAGCUCAUGAUUCCAUCACUGAUGAUAUGGCCAAAACCACUAGUAUACUUCAGGAUAUGAGUGCCACAGAUCCGGACUUCAAAGUUUGUGUGCAAGUAGACGGUGAAAGCAGGGUGAAAACAGUAAUAUGGUGUAAUGGUAAAAAUCGGCUGGAUUAUGCACAUUUCGGUGAUGUGGUUACUUUCGACACCACUUACAGGACCAACCUGUAUAACAUGCCAUUUGGGCUUUUUGUUGGUGUGAAUAACCAUUUCCAGUCUAUUAUUUUUGGCGGCGUCCUCAUGGUUGAUGAAAAGACUCCCACAUUUGAAUGGGCAUUCAGAAACUUUAUUGACUUGAUGGACGGGAAACAUCCUACUACUAUAUUGACAGAUCAAUGCAAAGCUAUGCAAAAUGCUUUACGAAGUACAAUGCCCCACACCCGUCAUAGGUGGUGCAGAUGGCAUGUGUUAAAGGUCUUGAAAGAGAAAACUGGACACGUGUACAACAAACAUUCUGCCUUCAAGAAGGAAUUCCACGCAAUAGUAAAUGAAGAGACGGAUGUAGAAUCAUUUGAGCGAAUGUGGCAUCAAUUGAUUAAAAAAUACAAACUUCAAGGAAACAAGUACCUUCGCAGGAUUUUCAAGUGGAGGGACAUGUGGGCAAUGCCAUACUUCUUGGGCACAUUCUGUGCCGGGAUGACCAGCACGCAACGGAGCGAGAGUGCGAAUCAUCUCCUCAAAAAGUUCAUCAGCAGAUCAUCCCCAAUGCACUUGUUUGUUAAGCAGUACAACAAAUUGCUUGAUUCCAGGAGCCAGGCAGAAGACGAGGCAAAUUAUGUCAGCAAGCAGACACGCAGGCGGCUUGUAAUUGGCGCUACUAUCGAGAUAGAUGCAGCGGCUGUGUACACGAAGGCCUUGUACGAAAAAUUUUCACACGAACUUUUUAGAUCAGGCUCAUUUGAUGCACGGCGUUCCAAGCCUGGACACGUCUACAAGGUCAAAUUGUCGCCGCAACUAGCCUUAACUGAUUAUGACAAAAAGGUAUUCACC
rnacentral:rRNA from 1 species